rnacentral:rRNA from 1 species
UGGGGAAUAUUGGACAAUGGGCGAAAGCCUGAUCCAGCCAUGCCGCGUGUGUGAAGAAGGUCUUCGGAUUGUAAAGCACUUUAAGUUGGGAGGAAGGGCAGUAACCUAAUACGUUGCUGUCCUGACGUUACCGACAGAAUAAGCACCGGCUAACUCUGUGCCAGCAGCCGCGGUAAUACAGAGGGUGCAAGCGUUAAUCGGAAUUACUGGGCGUAAAGCGCGCGUAGGUGGUUUGUUAAGUUGGAUGUGAAAUCCCCGGGCUCAACCUGGGAACUGCAUUCAAAACUGACAAGCUAGAGUAUGGUAGAGGGUGGUGGAAUUUCCUGUGUAGCGGUGAAAUGCGUAGAUAUAGGAAGGAACACCAGUGGCGAAGGCGACCACCUGGACUGAUACUGACACUGAGGUGCGAAAGCGUGGGGAGCAAACAGGAUUAGAUACCCCCGUAGUCCCUGAGCGGGCUGGCAAGGCGCAU